GUGGCUAUGGUAUAACGGUUAUUACUCCGGUUUGUGGUACCGGCAAUUCGGGUUCGAUUCCCGAUAGUCACC
rnacentral:tRNA from 1 species